rnacentral:rRNA from 1 species
GACGAACGCUGGCGGCGUGCUUAACACAUGCCAGUCGAACGGAAAGGCCCUGCUUUUGUGGGGUGUUCGAGUGGCGAACGGGUGAGUAACACGUGAGUAACCUGCCCUUGACUUUGGGAUAUCUUCAGGAAACUGGGGCUAAUACCGGAUAGGAGCUCCUGCUGCAUGGUGGGGGUUGGAAAGUUUCGGCGGUUGGGGAUGGACUCGCGGCUUAUCAGCUUGUUGGUGGGGUAGUGGCUUACCAAGGCUUUGACGGGUAGCCGGCCUGAGAGGGUGACCGGCCACAUUGGGACUGAGAUACGGCCCAGACUCCUACGGGAGGCAACAGUGGGGAAUAUUGCACAAUGAGCGGAAGCCUGAUGCAGCAACGCCGCGUGCGGGAUGACGGCCUUCGGGUUGGAAACCGCAGUCGCCUGUGACGAAGCGUGAGUGACGGUAAUGGGUAAAGAAGCACCGGCUAACUACGUG